UACGGAGGAUCCAAGCGUUAUCCGGAAUCAUUGGGUUUAAAGGGUCCGUAGGCGGCCUUAUAAGUCAGUGGUGAAAUCUCCCGGCUCAACCGGGAAAUUGCCAUUGAUACUGUAGGGCUUGAAUUAUUAGGAAGUAACUAGAAUAUGUAGUGUAGCGGUGAAAUGCUUAGAGAUUACAUGGAAUACCAAUUGCGAAGGCAGGUUACUGCUAAGGGAUUGACGCUGAUGGACGAAAGCGUGGGUAGCGAACAGG
rnacentral:rRNA from 1 species